UAAAAACAAAGCAAAGCAGACAUUUUUGAAGCGCAAUAAAAAGUAGCGACACCUCUAUAUUACAUUUAUUUAGGCUUUUAUGUUUAUCAUUAUGGCAAAGGCAUGGUCAGCUAAUAUUCCAAUUAAAUAAUUUAAACCCAAAUCGAUCAAAUUGCCAUGCACUGUUGAGGAUUUUCGGAAAGAAAAGAGCUGUAGAGAAAAAG